GACGUAGGGCGCGAGCGUGUCCGGAUUUAUUGGGCGUAAAGAGCUCGUAGGCGGCUUGUCGCGUCGUCUGUGAAAUCCCGCGGCUCAACCGCGGGUCUGCAGUCGAUACGGGCAGGCUAGAGUUCGGUAGGGGAGACUGGAAUUCCUGGUGUAGCGGUGAAAUGCGCAGAUAUCAGGAGGAACACCGUGUGCAAGGCGGCUCGUGGGACU
rnacentral:rRNA from 1 species